UCCGUCGCAUUUUGAUGAAAAGGCAGUUUUCUUCUUUUGAGAAUCCGGGGUCUCGUCGGGCUCCGUCUCAUGGUCAGAUCAUUGAAAUGUGCCAAGUUGUUCAGAGGUCUCAUGCUGGCCCCCCAGCAGACCACAGCAAUGCUGACAGAUUGAAAAUCUCCAAGUUUUUGCUGCACACAUUGAAGGAUCUCAGCUUUCUGCGCUUCCCCAUUUUAUAUACACUCUCUGUGCUGGUUUUCCAGUUCAGCCAGUUGUCGAUGUGGGUGCUCAGGUACCUUUUACUCCCCUACCACAUCACCAUACUGAAGAGACAGGCCUCCCAGACGACGCCACGAAAUCAUCCAGGAGUGUUUUGGACAUUAUUUCAUACAUCAUAGUUAUUUCAGGAGUACUUUGUUCUGUUAUCUCCCAUUUAUAUUUUGUAUAAUAAUAAAAGUGGGACCAAAUGGGACCCAGUAAAAUAUA